rnacentral:rRNA from 1 species
CAGCACCUCAAGUGGUCAGGAUGAUUAUUGGGCCUAAAGCAUCCGUAGCCGGCGCUGUAAGUUUUCGGUUAAAUCUGUACGCUCAACGUACAGGCUGCCGGGAAUACUGCAGCGCUAGGGAGUGGGAGAGGUAGACGGUACUCGGUAGGAAGGGGUAAAAUCCUUUGAUCUAUUGAUGACCACCUGUGGCGAAGGCGGUCUACCAGAACACGUCCGACGGUGAGGGAUGAAAGCUGGGGUAGCAAACCGGAUUAGAGACCCGAGUAGUCC